UACGUAGGGGGCGAGCGUUGUCCGGAUUUAUUGGGCGUAAAGAGCGUGUAGGCGGCCGAGCAGGUCCGUUGUGAAAACUGAAGGCUCAACCUUCAGAGGUCGAUGGAAACCGUUCGGCUAGAGUCCGGAAGAGGAGAGUGGAAUUCCUGGUGUAGCGGUGAAAUGCGCAGAUAUCAGGAAGAACACCCGUGGCGAAAGCGGCUCUCUGGGACGGUACUGACGCUGAGGCGCGAAAGCUUGGGGAGGGAACGGG
rnacentral:rRNA from 1 species